GGUCCUAUGGCCAAAUGGAUAAGGUGCCUGACUACGAAUCAGGAGAUUCCAGGUUCGACCCCUGGUAGGAUCG